rnacentral:lncRNA from 1 species
CCGUGUAGUUCACAGUAAUGACAUCAAUUUGGGGCCCUUUUAUCAAUUAUAAGACUCAUCGAGAAAGUCAUUUAUCAGGUUGAUCGAAAAUUGAUAACAACAUGAUCGGUACUCUGAAAUCGGUAACAACAUGAUUGGUACUCUAUCUAUUUUAAAAUCAUACUCGUCAUUCAUUGUUUUUCAAGACAAGCGUAAUCUGAUCGGCUACCGAUCAAACUGAUUUUUUUCGGGAUAAUUUCCUUAAUAAGAUCUACUAAAUAAACUGCUUGAAUUACUUAAGUGAUUAUGGGUGGACACCAAAUUUAAGGACAGCAUGGUGUUGUGCCAUUAUCCUCUCACCCCAAAUCUCUUUUACAAAAACCUAAUCCUAUGAAGCCACACCAUGCUUCUACAUUGUCCUACGCAUGGGGCAUACACCAUGCUUCUACAUUGUCCUAGGCAUGGGGCAUGGGCCUAUGUGUACCAUUUUGGGACUUGGAUGGAUUCAUUAGAAUAUGGAGGGGAGACAUUUUCUAUUGGUACCCAUUCUGAUCAUUUCCUUCCAUAAAUAAUCAUAUACAUAUAUAUGAUGCAUAUAUGAGUAUAUACUUGUUGAUAAGUGGCAUUAGGAUACAUAACCCAUCUUCUUUCUCAUUUGCCUUUCCAUAGUCUUUGCUAUAUUAUUAGAGCUUCCUAACUCUUACUCCUUAGGUUCAUUUACAGAUUCAAUAUUGAGGCCUAAUUAUCUUACAAUUCCAAAAUAAAGAAUGGACUGUGACAAGAGAGAACUUUAAACAUUGAUAAUAAAAACCGCUUUCAAUGUAACCAUGAUCAAAGACAUAAAGUUGAGAGAUUAAACUAUCAGCCUGCUAACUUCAGUCUCUCUAGCAGCUGAUGAAAUCCUGGACCAGCAUCCUGAAGACCAAGUCAAUCAGCAAUCUGAUGAAGGAAAAGCAGUUAGUCAGGUAUCCUAAAUUGAACAUAGAAAGUACUGUUACUAUGUGUGAAGAAUUAUCGAAUAGGUGACUCAAUUCCAAAUUAACAAAUUUAGAAUUUGCAUGUGAUGUUGUAGCCCCAGCAGGAUCACAAGAAACAAGGACCACCACGAAGGAAAGCAAGAAAGCCAACGACAUUUGCCAUGGAUUAUGAACUCUAUCAUUCCUGGUCACAUGCACCAGUCCUGGCUACAGAGGUGCUUCUGAUGUCGUGUCAAGAAGAGGAAGAAAGAGAAAGGUAGGCCCCUUCAUCAGUUUACUAAUAUAAGAUAUUGAACAAAAGAUUAAAAACAAAUUCACACUAAAGAUGCAAAAAGUCAAAAACCUAUCAAUAUUCGUAAAAAAAACAAGCCAAACCUGUCGAGUCUCCACUUCAAAUUACAACUAUUAUAUAUGUGAAAAUUUCAAUGCUAUUAAUAUUCGUAUAAACCGUGUAACCCAUGUUUCUGUCCCCUCAUUUUUUCCCUCCGAUGUAUUUUAAAUACCUUAAAUCCCCUCUAUUUCUAAGAGAUUUUAAGUUCAUAAAAUAUGUCACUAAUGCUUAUAAACGAGUCACGUAGCUAUAUAUUUAUAAUAUUAAAUUUAAAACGACUAAAUAAUAUUUUAAAAGUCAAAAAGUACAUAAUAAAUCUCAACAAUAUUUUUUUAAUAACUGAAGAGAAAGGAUUUGCCCAUCAUGGCUGCAACUACAAUUGCCCCACCAAGAAUUGGGUCAAUCACAUUCUCAGCAUCUCACAUUUGAACCCAAAGAGAAAUAUUGUUACAUCCUCAAACUAAAAUAACAUUGGAGGAUAAAAGCCUUUAUAUAGCAUCACAUUAAUCUCAUAAUCUAUAUAAGAAUAAAAAUCACUAAUUAUAUCUUUGCAACCACAAACAAACAUAAUGCACAUAUAUAAUGACCAUAAAACUACAUAAUAAAAUAUACUAAUAAAUCACAUAUUUGUAACAAUAAACAUAACAACCAUAGUAAUUGUCAUAUAUCUUUAUAAAAAUAAAAUAUGUAAAAGUUUUAAAGCUUUUUUAUUAGUAUUCCAACAAUCCCAAAAAAAGUUUCAAAACUUUAAAAUCAUAUUAUUAUUCAAUAAAUUUACCAAGAACGCCACAAAUACAAUUAUUAGAACUCAAAAGCAAAUUACUGUCUCUAACGUUAUUCCAAAACAUAUGAGCAUCACAAUAUUAAAAUAAAAUUUUCAAAAUAUUGAAAUUUUUUUAAAAGUACAUCACAAAUUUUAAAGACAUUCUUUUUUAAAAGAGAAAAGAAAGAAUUUGCCCCACCAUGACUGCAACUAUAGUUGCCCAGCUAAGAAACGGGUCAAUCACAUUAUGAGCAUUUGAGAAAGAAUUUGCCCCACCAUGGCUGCAACUACAGUUGCCCAGUCAAGAUACGGAUCAAUCAUAUUUUGAGCAUUUGAGAUUUGAAUUCAAAAAAGAGAGAACGAGAAAGGAUUUGCCAACCAUGGCUGACCCUACAAUUGCCCGCUCCAAGAAACAGACCAAUCGCAUUCUCAACAUCUCAUAUGUGAACU